rfam:Trametes cinnabarina, BRFM137, WGS project CCBP01000000 data, contig: scf184429
UUAAAGGUUUUUUUAAAAACCCCCGUUUUUUAAAAAAAAACCGUUA